CGGAGGAUCCGAGCGUUAUCCAGAUUUAUUGGGUUUAAAGGGUGCGCAGGCGGAAGAUUAAGUCGGUGGUGAAAUUUUGCAGCUCAACUGUAAAAGUGCCAUUGAUACUGGUUUUCUUGAGUGUGGAUGAAGUAGGCGGAAUUUGUGGUGUAGCGGUGAAAUGCAUAGAUAUCACGAGGAACUCCGAUUGCGCAGGCAGCUUACUAAACCAUAACUGACGCUCAGGCACGAAGGCGUGGGGAUCAAACAGGGUUAGAUA
rnacentral:rRNA from 1 species